UGACCCCUCCAGCCUAGCUGGGUGUUGGACCGCGCCUCCGGGCGGGUCUUAAAACCAGUGGCGGUGCUUUCAGGCUCUACGCGUAGUAGUAAUCUUUCUCGCUAUGGAGUCCUGGGAGAUGCUAGCCAGCAACCUCAACUUUUUCA
rnacentral:misc_RNA from 1 species